AUUGAACGCUGGCGGCAGGCCUAACACAUGCAAGUCGAACGAGUGGCGGACGGGUGAGUAAUGACUGGGAAACUGCCUGAUGGAGGGGGAUAACUACUGGAAACGGUAGCUAAUACCGCAUACCAUCGGAUGUGCCCAGAUGGGAUUAGCUAGUAGGGGGGGUAACGGCUCACCUAGGCGACGAUCCCUAGCUGGUCUGACAGAAUGACCAGCCACACAGGAACUGAGACACGGUCCAGACUCCCACGGACGGCAGCAGUGGGGAAUAUUGCACAAUGGGUGCAAGCCUGAUGCAGCCAUGCCGCGUGUAUGAAGAAGGCCUUAGGGUUGUAAAGUACUUUAAGCGGGGAGGCGUUACCAGCAGAAGAAGCACCGGCUAACUCCGUGCCAGCAGCCGCGGUAAUAC
rnacentral:rRNA from 1 species